CGGGCCGCGGAACCAGAGCGCACGAACUUAACCGCUCAGCCACGGGGCGGCUCCCACAAUUUCUUUUUUAAUCAUCUCCAGGUAGAGGUAAUUUCUUUGGUGAGCUCGUGUUUAUAGAACUCCACCUUCAUCCUGAUUUCUCUGUCUAUGAAGUGGAGAUAAUAACAGUACUAAUCUCAUAGGACUGUCAUGAGAAUUAAUUGGCAUAUUUGUAAAGCAACCAGAAUAAUGCUUGGCAUAUAGUAGGCCUCCAUAAAGAUUAGUUGUACUCAUUAACUUGCAAAAAUUUAUUUCUUUAACAGGGAUUCUUCUAAGUCUUCACUUGGGGCCCCUUUAUUUACAAUUUAUUAUGUCUGUCUCUGAUGAUGAAGAAAAGGCAUGAUGGAGGACAUGAGAAUACUGAUUGAUUUCCAGCUGCUUACCUGGCGAGGUGAGCUGACUGACAUGUUAAUCCUUAAACCUCUUAAAUGUAUUGCUUGGUAUAUUAUUAACCUGACCGUACUUCUACUUAUACCAACAGAAUUUUUACUAAGACCCCAAAAGUGAUCAAAAACACACAUAUAAACACACAUACACAUAUUUUAUAUAUAAGCUCUAAGAGAACUCCUCACUAUUUCCAUGCGUGAGGUAAUUGAAAGAUUUAAUUGAGAUGACAGAGUUCCUUUGCUAACUUAAAAAAGACACUUGAUUAAUUUUGUCCUCCCUUUUGCAGUUCAUAUUAUGAGACAAGUCAUUCAAGUCAUUCAUGUUUUAAUUACCAUGAUUAAAUAAGAGAAAAAAUCCAUUUGUGGCUCUUUUUUUCUUAGGACCUUACUCAAUAAUUACGUCUUCCUCGUUUAUACGCUGUUAGCUGCUGAAACCUUUGACGAGAUGACUAGUUUUGUUUGCAUUGAAAAACAAGUUUCUGAUUGAUAACACAUGAAGUCUGAAGCAAAUCAUCCUGAAAACAAACUUCACUCUUUAAAACAAACCUGUUUAGAAAACAAACUUGAUUGAACUGAUAAAAUAAAUACUUCUUAUGUCCUUCACAAAUUGGUUUACCGUGAAAUGAAACACUCUGAUGAGAGAUGAACUUAGAAAAUAUGUAGUAGAAGGUUAAGUGGACUUGAAGAUGACUAAGACAGCCCUGCUUGCUGUCUUUGACAAGAAAUAGAGUCCUCCAGAUAUCAGCUGUUAAAAUAAAGAACACGGUAGUAGAAAUAGGGUAAUGUAACCGAAGAUGAAUUUCCUUCAAAAUCAUCAGUUAGAUUUCCUACCCUGUUUUGGAGUAUGCAAAGCAGAUGCUUAUACAUUUGAGUUGUUUUCUGUACAUUCUGGUGAGAAACCUGCUCUCUGUUUACCUGAAAAAAAGAUGCAAUAACAGGAACUUCUGUUCCCAAAAGCAGUUAUCUUUGUACCUUUUUUUUUGGACAAAUAUGUUUAUUUGCACAUUACAUAAUUUUCCUUUUAUGAUUGAAUCUUUUAAAAUGAACUUUGGUGACCAAAGCAAUGCAUUUGGACUUUGAGUUCUGAUCUCUUCUGUUCCAUUGACUCACUUUGAGGCGUCAGUGGUGUAAAAGUAACGCUGUGGAAAAAUAACGUGACACCUCUCUAUGACUCAUGUCCCUCUAUGUGUAAAGUGGAUUGUACUUUUGCUGAGUACGUUACAGCCUUUUUGUAAAGUAUACCUAAUAAAAGUGCAAAAAGAAA